CGGCGCUCUUCCAUCUUCCUCUGGAGCUGGGUGGCAGAGUCAAGGGCUCGUGGUGCCUGACCUGGGUGCUCCGCCUGCCCUUCCCCCAUCUACCUGGCACAACCCAGAGCACCUGAGACGUUCCAGGGCUCCAGUGGGCAGGCCCUCCCUAGGCCCCGCUCACCAGCGAUGUCUUCUGCAUAGCCUGGCUGGGGUCCAGACGCGCCAUCCGGGCCUCAUAUGAAGCCUUCAACUUCUGGUUCUGCAGGGAGGCCUCCUCCAGUGGUGUCAGCUCCCUAGAAGUGAUGACCAGCUGCCAUCCUGGCCCUGGGGGCCUCCCACUCUUCCCCCCAACCCCAUUUUGAGGCUGGGAGGAGCUGGGCACCUGGACUGUGCUGAAAAUCAGUGGUACACCCGUGGCUAUGACCCGAGCUCGCAGGCACCACCACGGCUCAACAGCAAGCUCAGUCUGUGCCUCGCCAGACGAGGAACGGUGUCCGACAGCCUCUUGGCGCCAUAGGCAGCCCUGGUGGCACACGUCGCUCUGCUGUGCAGGGUCAGGAGAGCAGGCUGGCAGCUGAAGCUGCCCCUGUGCGGCAGGCCAGGAGGGCGGGCCUUCUGGUUCUACCUGUCUGCCUUCGUUGCUUCUUGCCUAUGUCUUCUAGAAAACUGACAUCAUCAGAUACUGUCUCCUCCUCUCUCAAGAAUUCCAGAAACACUUAAGUCAGACUCUGACCCGCGUCAUUUCUGUCCUGUGAUGUCUGGGUAUCUUUUCACCUUUUCCCCAGUCACUGACUCUGUCUUCUGCUACUUCUACUCUGCUGUUACACACUCGUCUAGCCAUUUUUGUAUAUAUGUGUGGAUCUCUAGGGCAGAAAAUAAUUUGGUUUUUAGAAAUUAUUUAUUUAUGGGGCCAAUGCUGUGGUGUAGCAGGUAAAGCCACCACCUGCAGUGCCGGCAUCCCAUAUGGGCGCCGGUUUGAGUCUCAGCUGCUCCACUUCUGAUCCAGCUCCCUGCUAUGGGCUGGGAAUGCAGCAGAGGAUGGACCAAGCCCUUGGGCUCCUGCACCCAUGUGGGAGACCCGGAAGAAACUCCUGGCUCCUGGCUUCAGAUCGGCUCAGCUCCAGCUGUUGUGGCCAUCUGGGGAGUGAACCAGCGGAUGGAAGACCUCUCUCUUCAUGUCUCUACCUCUCUCUGUAACUCUUUCAAAUAAAUAAAAUAAAUCUUCAAAAUUAUAUUUAUUUAUUUGAAAGGCAGAGUGAAUUAUAUAGGGAAGUAGAAGGAUCUUCCAUCCACUGGUUCACUCCCCAAAUGGCCACAAUGGCUGGGGCUGGUCCAGGCAGAUGGAACCCCAUCUGGGUCUCCUGUGUGUGGUAAGGGCCCAAGCACUUGGGCCAUCUACUGGGACUGCUUGGACUUGAAUGGAAUGCCAUGGGAUGCUGGCAUUGCAGGCAGUGGCUUAACCCAUUAUGCUACAAUGCUGGCUCCUCAUUUAGUUUUUUUCUUUUUUAAUAAUUUAAUUAAAUUUCCUGGAAAGGUGUAGAGGCUCUCAUCUUUUGGUUCAUUCCCCAAAUGCCCCAAUAGCUGGGGCCUGGGGCAGGUGGAAGCCAGGAGCCUGGAACUCAAUCCAGGUCUCCCACGUGGGUGGCAGGGCACAAGUAAUUGAGCCGUCACCUGCUGCCUCCCAGGGUGCGCAUGAUUAACGGGAAGCGCAACAGCCAGGACUCAGACCAGACCCUCCCAUGUGGAAGGUGCGCUUCUUAACUGCUACACCAAGUGCCCCAACUGUUUUUAAAUGUAUUUGCUAGAGAGAGAGACAGAUCCCACCCACUGGUUUUCUCCAUCCAUGCUUGUCAGAGCUGGAGCAGGACCAGAGCCGGAGCCAGAGCUUGGAGCCGGGCACUCAGCAGGUUUCCCCGGCAGGCGGCAGGAGCACCACGGCUCGAGCCACCGCUGCUGCCCCCAGGUUCCACACUAGCCGGAGUCGGAGCCGGAGCCGGAGCCGGAGCCGGGCCGCGCGGGACACGGCGUCAGGUGCUCAGCUGACGCCUGACUCCUGCUAGUUUUCUGAAAAUCAUUUUAGUAUUGGAUUUUUUGUUUCCCUUCUACUUGGUCCUUUAUUUUCUGGGUCAGGUUUCAUAGUUUUGUUUCCCGCAGGUAUUUCCCCUGCACGUCUUGUUUCUCUAAAGACAGGCGUGUCUGACUGCUCUCGGGAAGGCGGGGGUCCGCCUCUGCCCUGCGAUUCUCGUUCUCUGCUCGGCUGCCUCGGCCUGUGUGCCACUUCCUUUAUGCAGGGUAGAGCAGGGGUCCCCUUCUGGGACCCGUGGGAGCUGUGUUCACUGCCUCCAGCCCAGCCCCAGGCUCAGCCCACGUCCCGUCUUGCCCCUCUUACCUCUUA